rnacentral:lncRNA from 1 species
UACAGAAAACUUCUAACGGAAAUAUAAAAUGCACCAUCUCUUUUUUUGGAAUUUUGAUUUAUAACACACUUUUUUAGAUGCAAAAUAGAAAAUACAAUAGUAAAUAAAAAAUCUCGACAUUACUUUACAAAAUUAGAAAGUAAAAGACGACAUAAAAAAUAAUAAUCUCCUUAAGCAACUCCUAAAUGAGCGAUCCAGACUGGAUGGUCCUGGGGUGUCUAUCAUGCUCAAACUCCGGUAAGUAGACCCACACCUGUAUGAAAAAAUUCAAACCAAUAAGUUAAAGACCUAAAACGUUAUGUGAGACAAUAACCCUUCUUGUUGGACACAUGACAUGAUUGAGGCUAUUUUUGCAAAAUGGCUUAUUUGGCCAAAAGGUUGUUAGAAGUGCAAAAUUCGGCUCGAAAGACGAGAAUCAUAGACCGGACCCUAUGUGGGUUGCCUACGUAUCACGCCUCGAAAGAAGAGAAUCAGAUAUGCGUAGUUCAGGCAGAUUGGAUACGGGCGAGAAUUAAAAAAACAACUAAUUUAAAGAAAAUAUAUUUUUUGUCUUUUUGAAAAAUGAUGCAACAUGUAGACUUUUUUUGGAUUUUCUUUUCCCUUUUUUAUUUUUUUGAUUUUUAGAAAAUGAUGAAAAAGUGCAAAAUCUUUUUUUUUUUGAAUUUUUCAUUUUUUUGUCUUUUUCUUGAUAAAAAUGUGAUAGAAAACAUAAUCGAGCCUUACUUGCUUUAUUUUUCACACUUCAUCCUUUUUCUCUUUUUCUUUUCUUUUUCAUUUUCCCUCAACUAUCAUUGGUCCGCCAAAUGAUCCUUUUACCCUUGAAAAUUUGAAGCAUGUAGCACAUAGGAUGCAUCAGGAUGGUCUUUUAUAUUUUUAGGUACACCUAUCCUAGAUGGACACAACCCCUGUGUUGAGUCCCCAAAGUCAAAUGCACGUGAUGCAAACAAACGUUCUUACUAGGGAUCCGACAUGGGGCUGAGUUAUUCUAAGUUCAAAACCUGGGUAUGUUGUUCUAGACUUGUGCACACGAGCGAAAAACUCGAGCCGGGGGGGGGGNNNNNNNNNNNNNNNNNNNNNNNNNGGCCAUCCGUCUUUGUAACUUGUUCGAUCCUCUUCCUAGUUUAAGGUAUGAAACUAACAGAAGAGGAGUCAUGCCAGCGUGCACAUCCCCGAAGAUGAGAAGAGAAGGGUUUCGUAGCAGUUUAUAUACAGUUCAGAUAAUAUCAAAGCGGUAAAAAACAACAUUUAGCACAUUAGGCCCAAACAUGUAGUUAAAACCAGAUAAUAAAUAAAAGACAAAUAUAACAAUUAUUCUAAGCUCGAAUUCUUGAACCUUGAACCAGAGAUUCUAGGUUCUAGUCCCCAGCAGAGUCGCUAGAGCUGUCACACCUCCUUUUUCCUAACCCGAAAGGGGGUAUAAGGAGUUUUUUCCAAUUAAAGUGACAAUCGAAACAUGAUUAAUUUAUUUAGUCAGAGUCACCACUUGGGAUAAUUUAUGGUGUCCCAUGUCACCGGUUUAGAAUCCCGAAUCGAGGAAAGAUUGACUCUGUUCUAUAGUCCACGAACACAGAAAUCCGGGUAAAGAAUUUUGUUAACCCGGAAGAAGGUGUUAGGCAUUCUCGGAUUUCGUGAUUUUAGCACGGUCGCUCAACUAUUAUUAUUGGCCUAUUAUCUGAUUUUAAAACAUCUUUGAAUCCUAUGUGCAUUUUAUUCCUUUUAAACUGCUUUUAAUAAAUUAGUGUUGCAUAUUGCGGAUCAUUUCACGGGAACCGUACCCACGAUCUACAACAUAUUUAUUUUAUUAACAAAAUUAAAUUGUGGCCAGGUCACAUAAAUGUACCACCGGAUUUUAGAAAUUAAGCAUCACAACUACGUCACGAGAACCGUACCCGUAGCCAUGACAAUUAUUUAAUUAACGCGCCUAAAGCAAACUACGAAAGUUCAAGGCAUUUUUGUUUACUAAUUUUGUAUUUAUGUGAGGGCCAUAUGUUAUGGACUUUACUUGCGUAUGGCACACCUCAAUUUAUUUUAAAGGAAAAGAUUUGCAUUUUGCUAAGGCAAACCAAAAAUACUCCUACUUAUAUCUAAUUUAAAAACCAAAUAUCACAACUACGUCACGGGAACCGUAGUCGUAGUCGUAAUAGUUUAAUUACAUAUAUAAAGCAAACUACGAGAUUCAUUUUAGUAGCUAAGUUAUAAAAUAUGAAGGCCAUAGAUUAUAUGACUCAAAUGUAUGAAUGGCACGCCUCAAAACUAUUCAACUAAAUGAACUAGGAUAUUCAUAUUUGGAGCUAAUACGAAAUUAAUCACUGCAACUACGUCACGGGAACCGUACCCAUAGUCGUAAUAUUUUAAUUACGGGCCUAAAGUAAGCUACGAAUGUUUAUAAUUACAAUAAAAUAAUUAAUGAAAAUAACAAUCAAGGCUCAUUCAUUCAUGAGAAUUAACAGUUUCAUAAUUCAUUCACCACUUAGAUUCACGCUUCAUCAUCCAAUCACAGAAGUUUGGAGAUUAUGUCAUCAAAGCAUGCUAAAGGAGGAGCCCGAAAUAGAGAGUUGGAAAAUGGAAGAAAAUAUGUCAAAAAGAAUUUUUUGCAACUAAAGAAUUUCAGUUAUUACCAUUCUAGUACAUAGAAAUAUAUAUUAACAAGCAUACACGAAAGAUACAGGAACGAAAAAAAUUUAACUGUAAGAGCUACUGGUUAUUGCUAAAAAUAGAAGUUCCCAUUUUAAGUAUGUGUAUAAUUUUGAUAUAUCUAACAGAGUAAGUAGGUUUAUUUAAUUUUUUUAUUUUAUUGGUAAAGGUGUUUUAUUAAUGUGUAGCAAGGGACUGCAGAAUAUUACAGAGAAAAGCUACAUUACAAAUUAUGCAAUGAGCUAAAAAUUUCAAUCAGUUGACCAUCGUGAUCCUCAUCUCAUUAGUGCUUUAGCAAUUCAUCAACAAUCCAAACAUCAAUAAAACAAGCUAUUACACUAACAAUAACAAUGUAAAUGGACAAAAUAAUCAGCCGAGAAGAUGCGAAGAACGGACCUUUGGUAUGAAUCAACCAAAAUGGUAAUUACAAGAGGUUAAAAAUAACUCGACGAUUCUUGACCAGAGCUUUCGCCAGCGAAUCUGGACGGAGCCGGAAACAAUUACAGCUGAAAAUCUACACAAAUUAGAGCGAAAUCAGUAAAAUCGAACCAGAAUUUCGACUUAAGCUGCAACAGCAAUCCCGGGGAGAAACUCCAAUCGGCUCAGUCGAACUCCAUUGGUUUUCGUUUCUUUUCAGAUUUUGACCCAAAGACCUCUCCAAAUUUUUUGUUCUUCUCUUCACUGUGUUUGUCCGUGUGUGCUUAUGUGUUAUUGGUGGUCGCUGGUUUCAGGAGGGUCUGUCUGACAAGUUCGCCGCUGGUGGGGAGAAGAGGGGUGAAGGGUCGUUUUGGGGGUGGAGUUUAGGUGCAACGGUCGCUGGCUGCUGUGGAGAAAUCAGAAAUGACUGGCCUAAGGUCCCUUGUUCAUGGCUGCUCUAAGUCCUCUCCAGAAGAAGACGAUGUGGGGGUGGGGGGUCUUGUGUAUUUACGGCGCUGAUGGUUAUCUCCCCCUAGCUCAUUUAGGUGUUACUCUAUAUGUAGAGUUCAGGUUUAGGUUAUUUGUUGUAUUUUCAUCUUAUUGCUCUUAGGUCCUUAGGGUAUUUUUAUUUAUUUUUUGUUCCAAAAAAGAGUCUAGAAGGGUCCCUAGGGUUAGCUUAAUGGGUGUUGGGUAUUGGGCUUAAUGGGCUAAUCCGAAUUGGG